GGGCUCACAGGAAACUGGUCACAGUGUCUACUCCCAGGGAAAGAAUCUGGGUGAUUGGGGGAUGAGAAGAAGAGACUGUUCUUCUACUCUAUGCCCAUUGGUACCUCUUAAAAUAGAUAUUUCUUUGACCCGCCACCACCACCACCACAGUCCACUAUUAGGGAUUUACUUUCUUGAGCAGGCUGCUCUUUCAAACUGAAACUCUCCAGAAAAGCCAUCUUGAAUCUCCUGAUGCCUCAGCUUGAACGUCUGUCUCUGGGGUGGCCGGGGCAGAUGGGAGAGCCUAGCCCUGGGUGGAACCAGGGAGGAGGGAUGGGGUCCAGAGCGGAUACAGCCAGGGGCUGUGAAGACCUUGUUUCUGCCUUGAGUCUCCCUCGCCCCGGAAGAGUUGCUGUUUUAGGCAGGACUAAGUGCUGGCACACAGAGUGGGGGUCUGGGAGGCCCCCGGAGGAAAGUGAAGAGGGCAUGCAGCCGCAGUCGUGGGACCCUGCUGUUGGGCAGUGGGAAAGGUGGCUGUGGCCAGUCGACCCUCCAGGCCUCCACCUGCCCGAAGCGCAUGGCUGAGCACAGGGCAGAGUCCGAGGAAGGGAGGGUACAUCCCAGCAGAAGGGUUAAUGCCUAAACCAGUGGCUCUCAAUCUCUGGUGCCCCCAGGGCCACGAUGUCUGCCUGAAAGGCCAGCGGGCAGCCCCAGAAGCUGACAGUGAGAAAGGCAGAGCAAAAAGAUGUGCAAGCAUCCUGUUGCAGUGAGGCCAAAUGCCCUGGGGCUGGAAGUCCGUUUGGGCGAGGGUUCAUGACAGGAUGUUCUCAAAGGUGUUCCUCCUCACUGGCUGGUGCUGCUGCAUAACUAGGCUCAGCCUGUCUGCUGGGCGAGUGGUGGUGACCAGUGACCUGCGUCCCACCCUGAACUUGGAAGACAGCUGUCUGCGAGCGCGGCUGAGGAGAUGUGCCCAGCACUCUGUCCUGUGGCCAGCAGGGUAGGCCGUGCCCACACCCCCACGCGUGCGGAGUGGCUCUAUGGGAGGCGGCCUCAAGGAAUGGGUCGCCCCCAAGAAAGCUGAUGUGACAGACACACCAUGAGUGACAGGCCUAGUCCGCAGACACUGUCCUUGUCACACCCUGCCAUCUAGGUGGAUGUGAGGAAUGGAGCUGAAGGAAGCGUGUGAAGAAACCCUGAGAGGGAGCGUCAGCAUCUGGACAUAGCUCCAGGACAAGGGCCGUGGAGUUUGGCCAACCAUUGCCCUUUGCACUGAGUUGGUGUCACCCAGAACUUCCGAGUGGUCCUCUGGCUUCCUGUGGCAAUGCCCCUGCCGCGAGAGGACGCGGCAGCUGCAGAGAGAGGGACAGGCCCCCGG
rnacentral:lncRNA from 1 species